GAUGAACGCUGGCGGCGUGCCUAAUACAUGCGGGUCGAACGCAUAGCGAAAGGUGCUUGCACCUUUCAAGUGAGUGGCGAACGGGUGAGUAACACGUGGACAACCUGCCUCAAGGCUGGGGAUAACAUUUGGAAACAGAUGCUAAUACCGAAUAAAACUUAGUGUCGCAUGACACAAAGUUAAAAGGCGCUUCGGCGUCACCUAGAGAUGGAUCCGCGGUGCAUUAGUUAGUUGGUGGGGUAAAGGCCUACCAAGACAAUGAUGCAUAGCCGAGUUGAGAGACUGAUCGGCCACAUUGGGACUGAGACACGGCCCAAACUCCUACGGGAGGCUGCAGUAGGGAAUCUUCCACAAUGGGCGAAAGCCUGAUGGAGCAACGCCGCGUGUGUGAUGAAGGCUUUCGGGUCGUAAAGCACUGUUGUAUGGGAAGAACAGCUAGAAUAGGAAAUGAUUUUAGUUUGACGGUGCCAUACCAGAAAGGGACGGCUAAAUACGUG
rnacentral:rRNA from 1 species